GAUGAACGCUGGCGGCGUGCCUAACACAUGCAAGUCGAACGGAGUCCAGCCUUUAAGACCUUCGGGUCAAAGAGGGGAAGACUGAGUGGCGGACGGGUGAGUAACACGUGGGCAACCUGGCUCAUAGAGGGGGAUAACAGAGAGAAAUUUCUGCUAAUACCGCAUAAGCACACACUGCCGCAUGGCAGAGGGUGAAAAGAGAAUCGCUAUGAGAUGGACCCGCGUCUGAUUAGCCAGUUGGCAGGGUAAGAGCCUACCAAAGCGACGAUCAGUAGCCGAUCUGAGAGGAUGAACGGCCACAUUGGGACUGAGACACGGCCCAAACUCCUACGGGAGGCAGCAGUGGGGGAUAUUGUACAAUGGGGGGAACCCUGAUGCAGCGACGCCGCGUGAGUGAAGAAGUAUUUCGGUAUGUAAAGCUCUAUCAGCAGGGAAGAUAAUGACAGUACCUGAAUAAGAAGCCCCGGCUAACUACGUG
rnacentral:rRNA from 1 species